UAGGGAAUCUUGCGCAAUGGGCGAAAGCCUGACGCAGCAACGCCGCGUGGGGGAUGAAGGCUCUCGGGUCGUAAACCCCUUUCAGUGGGGAAGAAUUGAGACGGUACCCACAGAAGAAGCCCCGGCCAACUACGUGCCAGCAGCCGCGGUAAUACGUAGGGGGCAAGCGUUGUCCGGAUUUAUUGGGCGUAAAGAGCUCGUAGGUGGUUCGGCAAGUCGGGUGUGAAAUCUCCAAGCUCAACUUGGAGUCGCCACUCGAUACUGCCGUGACUAGAGUCCGGUAGGGGAGCGCGGAAUUCCUGGUGUAGCGGUGAAAUGCGCAGAUAUCAGGAGGAACACCAGCGGCGAAGGCGGCGCUCUGGGCCGGUACUGACACUGAGGAGCGAAAGCAUGGGUAGCAAACAGGAUUAGAUACCCCCGUAG
rnacentral:rRNA from 1 species